rnacentral:misc_RNA from 1 species
GAGCGUCAUUGCACCUCUCAAGCGUAGCUUGGUCUUGGGUUGUCGUCAUCGAAGACGUGCCCGAAAGCGAGUGGCGGUCAAACGUUGACUUCAAGCGCAGUAAAUUUAUCACGCUUUGGAAGUUCAUUUUUGGCUUGUCAAAAUCCUUCACACUUCAAUGAAUUGACCUCGGAUCAGGUAGGGAUACCCGCUGAACUUAA